GCGAGACGAGCGGAGAUCACGAUCAGGUUCUGUUGUGGUUGUGGCGGAGGCGAGAGUUCAGGGACGACCCCGAGUCAACCCAGAAACCGAGUGGAGAAGCAGACUACAAGCGAGGGAGUGAGCAAGGAGAGAGAGAGAGAGAGAGAGAGAGAA